AUUGAACGCUGGCGGCAUGCUUUACACAUGCAAGUCGAACGGCAGCGCGGGCUUCGGCCUGGCGGCGAGUGGCGAACGGGUGAGUAAUAUAUCGGAACGUACCCAGAAGUGGGGGAUAACGUAGCGAAAGUUACGCUAAUACCGCAUACGAUCUAAGGAUGAAAGUGGGGGACCUUCGGGCCUCAUGCUUUUGGAGCGGCCGAUAUCUGAUUAGCUAGUUGGUGAGGUAAAGGCUCACCAAGGCGACGAUCAGUAGCUGGUCUGAGAGGACGACCAGCCACACUGGGACUGAGACACGGCCCAGACUCCUACGGGAGGCAGCAGUGGGGAAUUUUGGACAAUGGGCGCAAGCCUGAUCCAGCAAUGCCGCGUGCAGGAAGAAGGCCUUCGGGUUGUAAACUGCUUUUGUACGGAACGAAAAGGCUCUGGUUAAUACCUGGGGCUCAUGACGGUACCGUAAGAAUAAGCACCGGCUAACUACGUGCCAGCCGCCGCCGUAAUAC
rnacentral:rRNA from 1 species